AUGUGAGGGACAUCUAAACAUAAGGUCAUGCUGCCAGAAUGAGAGAGACCGAAGCUAACUACUGACAUGGGUCUUGGAAUUGCACCAACAUGAAUGGUAAAAGCAGCAGAACGAUGUCAAUGCGAUUGAUAGCGAUAAACAGGAGCAACAUCUAUCUCUGUUGAUUGGACCUAAAUAUCUACACUGAUUGCAGAGCUACUUUCCACUGGCCGCCUUGCUGAUGCACAAUGAUCCGCUACAGCAAAUUACAGAAGCAAGUUCUGGCAUUGUAUCGAGAGUUCAUGCGCGCUGGAAGGGACAAACCUGGAUUCAUUCCUCGGAUUCGAGAUGAAUUCCGAGAGAAUGCUCGUAUUAAGAAGACCGACGUCAUGCACAUAGAAUACUUAUAUCGGCGCGGACAACGACAGCUCGAACAGCUCAAAGAUGUGAACACCAAACAGCUGGGGUCUUUCUCCGGGAGCAAAGAAAACAGAUGAUGCCAAGUAAAGGCCAAGUGCUGAUAUCUGUCAUGUAUUAUCGAUAAUAGGAUUCAGUUCAUGUAAUAGUUUUCCAGGCCUCAUGGAUCUCCUCUGGACAUCAUUGUGUAAGGUCAUAUAUAUUGUCAGAAGGCUGUCGAAGCCUGUUGUUUGAGCAGAUGGCUCAAAGAUCAGAACCUGUUGCGGCACAAGGUUCAAUACCUGGAUGAACACUGUUGUGAAGGACACUGUCUACAUUACUGAUUGUGUAAUGUAUUUAAAAAUAAAUAAUAAAACAAACACUACUUUUCUACACCAUUGAUAAUUUGGGCCUACUGGUUGUAACCAUAGACUGUAUAUAUACAGUCUAUAGUUGUAACAGUCACAAAUCUGGUUAAUAUUUUAUGACCAAAAGAUCACAUCCACUUGACACAAAACAAAUAUUGUAAAACAAUAUAAUGUACAUAGAGGUAAGUACCUAUGAAUACAUAUAUAUAGCUAUUGCACAUCCUUGAGUUGAAUUAUGUAAGGUUCAAAUUUGACAUAACUACCAGGGGGGAAGUUGAGCAAGCAUGGUGAAUGCGCUGCAGCCGGCAGGGGGCAGUAGUUCUGUAAGACGGAGAAAAAACCCAAACAGGAAAUAAACAGAACGGUGGACAUUCUCUGACUACCUUGCUAGCUGAGACGGUGGGCGAGGCUGGUACAUUUGUGAUUAAAUAUAGACUAGAAGAAAGCAGUUAGCAGGAUAUUUAGUGCACAAAGAUUAUACCAUGGCAGCUCCAGGAAAUGCUGCGGGCGAGAUGACCAAUGCCCAGCUAAUUCAACAAUUGGCAUUGCUGAACUGGCUGAAGUCUGAUACUACUCAGAGUAAAGACAUACUGACUGCCAUCACCCAACUGCAAGUAGGACGGGAGAUUUUCAACAGAUUGACUGGACAGGGGAAAGUAGAGGCUUACAAGAAAGAGUGCAUUCUGCAGAUUGCGGACUAUGUCCAGAAGAAUCCAAGCGCCUCCCAGAGGCAGCUGAACACUGAGGUGGAGAAGCAGGUCCUGCUGUUUGCUGCCCGAGUGCAGGCCCUGGACUCUGGGUCCCUCCUCUAAGAUCCUCUCUCUCUCUCUCUCUCUCUCUCUCUCUCUCUCUCUCUCUCUCUCUCUCUCUCUCUCUCUCUCUCAAUUCAAUUCAAUUCAAUUCAAUCCAAUUCAAUUCAGUGAGCUUUAUUGGCAUGACUGUGCAUUGUACAAUAUUGGCAAAGCAUUAACAUCUCUCUCUCUACCUCUACUGUCUCUCUAGCUCUCUCUCUCUUUCUGUCUACCUCUACUCUCUCUCUCUACUCUCUCUCUCUCUCUCUCUCUCUCUCUCUCUCUCUCUCUCUCUUCUCUUUACUGCACCUCUACUCUCUCUAGCUCUCUCUACCUCUUCUCUCUCUCUCUCUCCCCCUCUCUUGCCUUACUGGAGGACAGCAACACAAGGAUUUGUCUUUCUCACUUUUUUAACAUUUCAUAAUUUAUAUUGUUUUCGUACCAUUUUAAUGAGAUCUGAUUUAUGGUGUAAUUUUGCAUCUUGUUUUUAUCUUUUUGUAAUAUAGUUAUUGAUUUGAAACUAUGAUACUGGUGUUUUCUUUCAAGCCCGUAUUAGAUAUCAAAUAUGUAAACAAAAACAACAACAAUAAUAAUAUUGUAAAUAAAUAACACUGUUAUACUUCA